rnacentral:lncRNA from 1 species
GAGUCGCGCCCCUUGCCAUUUCGGUGCAAUGGUGGCAGAGAAAGUGUCAAGCCUCAGAUGGCACAUUUGCUGACGUGGCAAGGGCAGCGAUGCUGAUGUUUAAGGGGGAAGCUAGGGUUUUUGUUUAUGUUAAGAUAGUGGGCCAUUAGGCUUUAGGUUUUUUUAGACUUUUAGGCUUUUAUAUUUGGGCUUGUAUUUUGUAAAUGAACUUUUU